UUUCUGGCACUGGCCCUUGUCUAUGUUCCUUGGAACAGGACGUCACAGAGGGUGAGAAUCCCGUCUGGCGGGGAGUCCAGUGCUUUGUAGAUUUCUAUCGACGAGUCGAGUUGUUUGGGAAUGCAGCUCUAAGUGGGUGGUAAAUUCCAUCUAAAGCUAAAUAUUGGCGAGAGACCGAUAGCGAACAAGUACAGUGAUGGAAAGAUGAAAAGAACUUUGAAAAGAGAGUGAAAAAGUACGUGAAAUUGUUGAAAGGGAAGGGUAUUCGAUCAGACUUGGUGUUUUGUGAUUAUCUUCCCUUCUUGGGUUGUGCACUCGCAUUUCACUGGGCCAGCAUCGGUUCGGGUGGCAAGAUAAUGACAUUGGAACGUGGCACCUUCUUCGGAUGGUGUGUUAUAGCCCUUGUUGAUGUUGCCUGCCUGGACCGAGGACUGCGGCUUCUGCCUAGGAUGCUGGCGUAAUGAUCCAAUACCGCCCGUCUUGAAACACGGACCAAGGAGUCUAACGUCUAUGCGAGUGUUUGGGUGUAAAACCCGUACGCGUAAUGAAAGUGAACGUAGGUGAGAGCCCUCACGGGUGCAUCAUCGACCGAUCCUGAUGUCUUCGGAUGGAUUUGAGUAAGAGCAUAGCUGUUGGGACCCGAAAGAUGGUGAACUAUGCCUGAAUAGGGUGA
rnacentral:rRNA from 1 species